rnacentral:rRNA from 1 species
UGCAGUCGAGCGCACUGGCCCAACUGAUAUGACGUGCUUGCACUGAUUUGACGAUGGAUUACCAGUGAGCGGCGGACGGGUGAGUAACACGUGGGCAACCUACCCUAAAGCGGGGGAUAACAUUUGGAAACAGGUGCUAAUACCGUAUAACUACGAAAACCACAUGGUUUUCGUAUCAAAGAUGGUUUCGGCUAUCACUUUAGGAUGGGCCCGCGGUGCAUUAGCUAGUUGGUAGGGUAACGGCCUACCAAGGCAAUGAUGCAUAGCCGAGUUGAGAGACUGAUCGGCCACAAUGGAACUGAGACACGGUCCAUACUCCUACGGGAGGCAGCAGUAGGGAAUCUUCCACAAUGGGCGCAAGCCUGAUGGAGCAACACCGCGUGAGUGAAGAAGGUUUUCGGAUCGUAAAGCUCUGUUGUUGGUGAAGAAGGAUAGAGGUAGUAACUGGCCUUUAUUUGACGGUAAUCAACCAGAAAGUCACGGCUAACUAC